GACGAACGCUGGCGGCGUGCUUAACACAUGCAAGUCGAACGGAAAGACCCUGCUUUUGUUGGGUGCUCGAGUGGCGAACGGGUGAGUAACACGUGAGUAACCUGCCCUUGACUUUGGGAUAACUUCAGGAAACUGGGGCUAAUACCGGAUAGGAGCUCCUGCUGCAUGGUGGGGGUUGGAAAGUUUCGGCGGUUGGGGAUGGACUCGCGGCUUAUCAGCUUGUUGGUGGGGUAGUGGCUUACCAAGGCUUUGACGGGUAGCCCGCCUGAGAGGGUGACCGGCGACCUGGCACCUGGGGAAGGGGCCAGACGCCAACGGGAGGCAACAGUGGGGAAAAUUGCACAAUGGGAGGGAGCCGGAUGCAGCAACGCAGCGAGCGGGAUGACGGCUUUCGAGUUGUGAACCGCUUUGGCCGGUGACGAAGCGUGAUUGACGGUAAUGGGUAAAGAAGCAACGGCUAACUACGUG
rnacentral:rRNA from 1 species